rnacentral:rRNA from 1 species
GUUUCCGGGGGAAGUAUGGUUGCAAAGCUGAAACUUAAAGGAAUUGACGGAAGGGCACCACCAGGAGUGGAGCCUGCGGCUUAAUUUGACUCAACACGGGAAAACUCACCCGGCCCGGACACCGUAAGGAUUGACAGACUGAGAGCUCUUUCUUAAUUCGGUGGGUGGUGGUGCAUGGCCGUUCUUAGUUGGUGGAGCGAUUUGUCUGGUUAAUUCCGAUAACGAACGAGACUCUGGCCUAUUAAAUAGACGAUAUAUUUAAAAGUAUAUCGCGCUUCUUAGAGGGACAAGCGGCGUCUAGCCGCAUGAAAUAGAGCAAUAACAGGUCUGUGAUGCCCUUAGAUGUCCGGGGCUGCACGCGCGCUACACUGAAAGAAUCAGAGUGCGUUUUGCCUAGUUCGGAAGAACCGGGUAACCCAAGUAAAUUCUUUCGUGCUUGGGAUAGGGAAUUGCAAUUAUUUCCCUUAAACGAGGAAUUCCCAGUAAAUGCGGGUCAUAAGCUCGCGUUG